ACGCUGGCGGCGUGCUUAACACAUGCAAGUCGAACGCUGAAGCCCAGCUUGCUGGGUGGAUGAGUGGCGAACGGGUGAGUAACACGUGAGUAACCUGCCCCCUUCUUUGGGAUAACGCCCGGAAACGGGUGCUAAUACUGGAUAUUCACUGGCUUUCGCAUGGGGGUUGGUGGAAAGGUUUUUUCUGGUGGGGGAUGGGCUCGCGGCCUAUCAGCUUGUUGGUGGGGUGAUGGCCUACCAAGGCUUUGACGGGUAGCCGGCCUGAGAGGGUGACCGGUCACAUUGGGACUGAGAUACGGCCCAGACUCCUACGGGAGGCAGCAGUGGGGAAUAUUGCACAAUGGGCGAAAGCCUGAUGCAGCGACGCCGCGUGAGGGAUGACGGCCUUCGGGUUGUAAACCUCUUUCGCUCAUGGUCAAGCCGCAACAGUGGUUGUGGUGAGGGUAGUGGGUAAAGAAGCGCCGGCUAACUACGUGCCAGCAGCCGCGGUAAUACGUAGGGCGCGAGCGUUGUCCGGAAUUAUUGGGCGUAAAGGGCUUGUAGGCGGUUGGUCGCGUCUGCCGUGAAAUCCUCUGGCUUAACUGGGGGCGUGCGGUGGGUACGGGCUGACUUGAGUGCGGUAGGGGAGACUGGAACUCCUGGUGUAGCGGUGGAAUGCGCAGAUAUCAGGAAGAACACCGGUGGCGAAGGCGGGUCUCUGGGCCGUUACUGACGCUGAGGAGCGAAAGCGUGGGGAGCGAACAGGAUUAGAUACCCUGGUAGUCCACGCUGUAAACGUUGGGCACUAGGUGUGGGGGCCACCCGUGGUUUCUGCGCCGUAGCUAACGCUUUAAGUGCCCCGCCUGGGGAGUACGGCCGCAAGGCUAAAACUCAAAGGAAUUGACGGGGGCCCGCACAAGCGGCGGAGCAUGC
rnacentral:rRNA from 1 species